rnacentral:rRNA from 1 species
AGUGAACGCUGGCGGUAGGCCUAACACAUGCAAGUCGAACGGCAGCACAGUAAGAGCUUGCUCUUACGGGUGGCGAGUGGCGGACGGGAGGAAUACAUCGGAAUCUACUUUUUCGUGGGGGAUAACGUAGGGAAACUUACGCUAAUACCGCAUACGACCUACGGGUGAAAGCAGGGGAUCUUCGGACCUUGCGCGAUUGAAUGAGCCGAUGUCGGGUUAGCUAGUUGGCGGGGUAAAGGCCCACCAAGGCGACGAUCCGUAGCUGGUCUGAGAGGAUGAUCAGCCACACUGGAACUGAGACACGGUCCAGACUCCUACGGGAGGCAGCAGUGGGGAAUAUUGGACAAUGGGCGCAAGCCUGAUCCAGCCAUACCGCGUGGGUGAAGAAGGCCUUCGGGUUGUAAAGCCCUUUUGUUGGGAAAGAAAAGCAGCAGGUUAAUACCCCGCUGUUCUGACGGUACCCAAAGAAUAAGCACCGGCUAACUUCGUG